UGGGGAAUCUUGGACAAUGGGGGCAACCCUGAUCCAGCCAUGCCGCGUGAGUGAUGAAGGCCUUAGGGUCGUAAAGCUCUUUCGCCUGUGAAGAUAAUGACGGUAGCAGGUAAAGAAACCCCGGCUAACUCCGUGCCAGCAGCCGCGGUAAUACGGAGGGGGUUAGCGUUGUUCGGAAUUACUGGGCGUAAAGCGCACGUAGGCGGACCAGAAAGUUGGGGGUGAAAUCCCGGGGGCUCAACCCCGGAACUGCCUCCAAAACUAUUGGUCUAGAGUUCGAGAGAGGUGAGUGGAAUUCCAAGUGUAGAGGUGAAAUUCGUAGAUAUUUGGAGGAACACCAGUGGCGAAGGCGGCUCACUGGCUCGAUACUGACGCUGAGGUGCGAAAGUGUGGGGAGCAAACAGGAUUAGAUACCCUGGGUAGUCCACACCGUAAAACGAUGAAUGCCAGUCGUCGGGUAGCAUGCUAUUCGGU
rnacentral:rRNA from 1 species